rnacentral:lncRNA from 1 species
AAGACACACCCCAUACUUGCUCUCCAAGAAACCCCUGAAAGUUGGUACUGCUGAAGUAAAUGAUCAAACGCGACUUUCCGUCACUUGACUGACACAGGAAUACUUUGCACCCGAGACAAAGACGAAGCUACAUCGCACUAGAGGUAUCUUGGAACCUGUAAGCUAUACCAAACAUGGAGAGGAUCAUAAAAAAUCAAACACUUAUCAUU